rnacentral:rRNA from 1 species
UACGUAAGAGACUAGUGUUAUUCAUCAUAAUUAGGUUUAAAGGGUACCUAGACGGUUAAAAUAGCAUGUUAAAUGUAAAUGUAACUACUUGACUAGAGUUUUAUGGAAGAGGGCAGAACUUGCGGAGGAGAGAUAAAAUUUCGUAAUACCAAAAGGACUGGUAAAGGUGAAGACAGCCCUUUAUUUAAAAACUGACGUGAGGGACGAAGGCAUAGGUAACAAAAAGG